UGGGGGGUGGCGGAAUUGGCAAACGCGCCCGACUGUUUCUCGGGUGGUGAUUAAGCGAAAAGCUCACCUUGUAGGUUCGAAUCCUACUCCUCCAGCCU
rnacentral:tRNA from 1 species